UACGUAGGAGACGAGCGUUGUCCGGAAUUACUGGGCGUAAAGCGCGUGUAGGCGGCUCGGUAAGUCCGCUCUGAAAGUCCAGGGCUCAACCCUGGGAUGCCGGUGGAUACUGUCGGGCUUGAGUACGGAAGAGGCGAGUGGAAUUCCUGGUGUAGCGGUGAAAUGCGUAGAGAUCGUAAGGAAGACCAGUGGCGAAGGCGGGUCUCUGGACAGUUCCUGACGCUGAGGCACGAAGGCCAGGGGAGCAAACGGGG
rnacentral:rRNA from 1 species